rnacentral:rRNA from 1 species
UCGGUGGGGAUUAGUGGCGAACGGGUGAGUAACACGUGGGCAAUCUGCCCUUCACUCUGGGACAAGCCCUGGAAACGGGGUCUAAUACCGGAUAUCACUCCUCAGGGCAUCUUGGGGGGUUGAAAGCUCCGGCGGUGAAGGAUGAGCCCGCGGCCUAUCAGCUUGUUGGUGAGGUAAUGGCUCACCAAGGCGACGACGGGUAGCCGGCCUGAGAGGGCGACCGGCCACACUGGGACUGAGACACGGCCCAGACUCCUACGGGAGGCAGCAGUGGGGAAUAUUGCACAAUGGGCGAAAGCCUGAUGCAGCGAC